UACGGAGGGUGCGAGCGUUGUCCGGAAUCACUGGGCGUAAAGCGCGCGUAGGCGGCUUUGUAAGUUAGAGGUGAAAGCCCGGAGCUCAACUCCGGAAUUGCCUUUAAGACUGCAUCGCUAGAAUCAUGGAGAGGUUAGUGGAAUUCCGAGUGUAGAGGUGAAAUUCGUAGAUAUUCGGAAGAACACCAGUGGCGAAGGCGACUAACUGGACAUGUAUUGACGCUGAGGUGCGAAAGCGUGGGGAGCAAACAGG
rnacentral:rRNA from 1 species